rnacentral:rRNA from 1 species
AUUGAACGCUGGCGGCAUGCCUUACACAUGCAAGUCGAACGGUAACAGGUCUUCGGAUGCUGACGAGUGGCGAACGGGUGAGUAAUACAUCGGAACGUGCCUAGUAGUGGGGGAUAGCUACUCGAAAGAGUGGCUAAUACCGCAUGAGAUCUACGGAUGAAAGCAGGGGAUCGCAAGACCUUGUGCUACUAGAGCGGCCGAUGGCAGAUUAGGUAGUUGGUGGGAUAAAAGCUUACCAAGCCGACGAUCUGUAGCUGGUCUGAGAGGACGAUCAGCCACACUGGGCGCGAGACACGGCCCAGACUCCUACGGGAGGCAGCAGUGGGGAAUUUUGGACAAUGGGCGAAAGCCUGAUCCAGCAAUGCCGCGUGCAGGAUGAAGGCCUUCGGGUUGUAAACUGCUUUUGUACGGAACGAAAAGCCCCGGGUUAAUACCCUGGGGUCAUGACGGUACCGUAAGAAUAAGCACCGGCUAGCUACGUGCCAGCCGCCGCCGUAA